rnacentral:rRNA from 1 species
AUUGAACGCUGGCGGCAGGCCUAACACAUGCAAGUCGAACGAGUGGCGGACGGGUGUGGAAUGUCUGGGAAACUGCCUGAUGGAGGGGGAUAACUACUGGAAACGGUAGUUAAUACCGCAUACCAUCAGAUUAUCCCUGAUGGCAUUAGCCAGUUGGUGGGGUAACGGCUAACCAAGGCGACGAUCCCCAGCUGGUCUGAGAGGAUGACCGGCCACACUGGAACUGAGACACGGUCCAGACUCCUACGGGAGGCAGCAGUGGGGAAUAUUGCACAAUGGGCGCAAGCCUGAUGAAGCCAAGCCGCGUGUAUGAAGAAGGCCUUCGGGUUGUAAAGUACUUUCAGCGGGGAAGCGUUACCCACUGAAGAAGCACCGGCUAACUCCGUGCCAGCAGCCGCGGUAAUUC